rnacentral:rRNA from 1 species
CCGGAGGAAGGUGGGACGACGUCAAGUCAUCAUGGCCCUUACGUGUAGGGCUACACACGUGCUACAAUGGCAUUUACAGAGGGAAGCGAGACAGUGAUGUGGAGCGGACCCCUUAAAGAAUGUCGUAGUCCGGAUUGGAGUCUGCAACUCGACUCCAUGAAGUCGGAAUCGCUAGUAAUCGCAGGUCAGAAUACUGCGGUGAAUACGUUCCCGGGCCUUGUACACACCGCCCGUCACACCAUGGGAGUGGGAUGCAAAAGAAGUAGUUAGUCUAACCUUCGGGAGGACGAUUACCACUUUGUGUUUCAUGACUGGGGUGAAGUCGUAACAAGGUAACC